rnacentral:lncRNA from 1 species
GGUCUGGCUCUACCCUCCUCUCUUACCAGGUUCUGGAACAUGCUGUCCUUGCUGUUCCUCUUUUGUGCUUCCAGAUCUUUGCAUUUACUGUUCUCUUGGUCCCGUGUAUCACGUGGCUGGAUUCUUCUCCUCCUAUGGGGUCACCUCCAGAACUGGGUCAUCUCUGACCUUCUGACCUCCCCCUCAAGCUCUCACAUCACCUAGAUAGAGUCUCCACAGCCCAGACAAGCCAGGACUAGAGAAGUAGACUUCAGAAAUCCCUGGAAUUUCUGGCUUUUGGGAAGACCUUGUAACAGAUCACUGUAUUUUGUCUGCCUACCCUCCUCACUUCCUUUUCCCAUUUUGUCUGGUAACAGGAUCUUCCUUCCUAAGGAAAAUCCACUGGAUGUGGUUCAGUAGGGCUCACACUGCUCCGUCAUCUUCUCGAACUCCAGACCUCAGGUGAUCCACCCACCUCGGCCUCUCAAAGUAUUGGGAUUACAGGGGUGAGCCACUGCACCCGGCCGGCUCAGUCAUCUUCUCCCU